rnacentral:tRNA from 1 species
CUCUGGUUAGUCUUAGUGGCUAGGAUUCCUGGUUUUCAACCAGGCUGUCCAGGUUCAAUUCCUAGAGCAGAGA